UAUCUAUCGUUGUGUGUCCGUUGGUUAGGUACAACAUGAUUGGGCGCUCAUUACGGCCAUGGUUGAGCGGUGGAGGCCAGAGACACAUACCUUCCAUCUUCGCACCAGCGAGGCCACGAUUACACUUUAGGAUAUGAAGGUCCUCUUUGGAUUGCGGAUAGAUGGAGAGCCAUUAUACACUCGGUACGAGCCUCCUCCUGGUAGUACAUGGGUGACAGAGUUGACUAGGCUCACCCACUUCGUGCCUGAUGUCGAGGGCCAGAUGUCGGGACAGAGUCGGGUAAAGAUUAGUGCGCUCUGCACUUAUUUGAUGGCAGAGGAUCCUGUAGAGGACGACACUCAACAGGACGUUGUUGAUCGUCAUGCCCGUUUGUACCUGCUUAUUAUAUUCAGGGGCAUCUUGUUCUCGAAUUGAUCGGUGCCUUUGUCACUUUACGAUAUUUGGUCUUCUUGGAGCAUCUGGACUGCUUGGGAGACUACAGCUGGGGCAGUGUUGUUUUGGCGUAUCUUUACAGAUGCCUAUGCCGAGCAUCUAUUGGUGUUGUCAGCAAUGUGUGUGGAUUUUUUGCUUUUCUCCAGUUAUGGGCGUGGGAGAGGAUGCUGCCUUUUCAGCCCGUACCUAAGCAUCACCUCAAUAUUGACAUGCCCUAUGCGAGGAGAUGGAUGGCGGGUUUUGACCAAGAUGUGGAUAUGCACCACAGUAUUCUUCUAUUCCGGGACCAGCUUGAUCACAUGACGGAUGAUGCGCCUUUUGCAAGGCAGGUCAGGGGGAUUGGAGGUCGCGGUGUCCAUUGAUACCCAAGCGCGUCUUACAAUAAUUUGGGCAUACACAGAGUAUACCUCCUGAUGUUGUCAUGAGCUCCGACACUACUAGCGGGACGAUCGGGCCGCCGUUGAUGAUGAAUUUCUGGCUUUCAUGGCUGUCCAGCUCCACCGUUGGGAGCACAGGUUGGGCACUUUAGCGGUGGUCAUCCAUUUGACUCUCAUUCGGGAUUACAUGCGCUGGUAUUAUCGGAUCACACGCCGAUUGUUCGGCAACCCAGCUUUGCGUCCCGCAAGGGAUGUAGGAUAUUCAGCACUCAUGGGGCAGCACGAGACAUUUGUAAGUUUAUUGUAUUUAGAUUUAUUUAAUUGUAUUAAUUGUUACAUUUUAAAAAUAACUUUUUUUUACUGUUGAAGACAAAUGUAGCUGGUGGCCGUACAGCAAUUACGCAUGUUGGGGUUAGAGCAUAUCCCUUACCCCGGGCUUGCGGGGCUUGCGGCAGAGAUGGUAUGGAUAUCCGAGGAUGGUAUCCGGCAAGCAGGAGAGUUUAGGUGCAUGGAGGAGCUUGUUCCAAAGGCUGAGCAUCGGCC